rnacentral:misc_RNA from 1 species
GAUGAAGAACGUAGCGAAAUGCGAUAAGUAGUGUGAAUUGCAGAAUUCAGUGAAUCAUCGAAUCUUUGAACGCACAUUGCGCCCUUUGGUAUUCCAAAGGGCAUGCCUGUUCGAGCGUCAUUUGUACCCUCAAGCUUUGCUUGGUGUUGGGCGUCUUGUCUCUAGCUUUGCUGGAGACUCGCCUUAAAGUAAUUGGCAGCCGGCCUAUUGGUUUCGGAGCGCAGCACAAGUCGCACUCUCUAUCAGCAAAGGUCUAGCAUCCACUAAGCCUUUUUUUCAACUUUUGACCUCGGAUCAGGUAGGGAUACCCGCUGAACUUAAGCAUAUCAAUAAGCGGAGGA